CCUCACCUGGCAACCCAAGUAGACCCGCUUCAUUACAAGUUACCGCUGCAACAGCCGCAGGAAAAUGAAAAAUGUUUUGUCAGCUGCCAUACAGAAGACAUGUCCAUGAAUUUUCUCCCAGUUACGUAAAAUAGCUUCAUUUAGUUCUUGCUUGCAAUGUCUCUGAAAUAUUGCCUAAGAAAGUUGUAGUUUGCGCAAAUCAGUUAAGGAAGGAGUUAUUUGAAAACAGCCAACAUUAUACAGGAAGAUUUACCAAAAAUACUUAAGCUGAAGGAAGUUUCUGUUCGUCACAAAUCUGCAGAUAAUGGGGAUGCCACGUGUUUGGUUCCCCCCAAAGGACCGGAGUUAAUUCUGCCCCUGACAGCCAGCGCAGUGUACUAAGCCAUUUCUGGAUGCUGGAAAUUGAUUAGUGUGCAGAAGACUUGCCCGUGCCCGUCUCUGUCUCGCACUUUCCCUCCUCCCCUCCAGCUCUGCACAGGCCUGCCUGUCCAUCUCUGGUAUGUUGAGCCAAUCAGCCAGGCGCUCCACACACGCUUAAUGAGCUCACGAGGGACGUGACAUGACUGCAGCGACAAGCGUUCACCGCCUUCCCCAAAAAAGAGAAAUAAAAAAAAAAAUCAGCAUCCAGCUGCCAGAGUCUAAUUGUCAAGUAAGUGGGAAAUCACUGUAAUAUGGCAGACAGAGAGAGAAAAUCCAGGCACAAACUCAUGUUUUAAAUCAGCUUUUUUUUUUUUUUUGGUAAAAAUAAAUACGACUCGUUACUUCAAUCUUGAAAACGUUAUUGCGUUGUUAUAUGUAGCAUUCAGUUUCUGUCUCUUAUGUUCACAUUUUUUUCUAAUAUUUUGUAGUUUCCUUCUCUUUUUUUUUUCUUUCUACCUUGCUGAAAACCAAGUGUGGUCAUAAGAUGUUAGAUGACGACUUGUUCUUGUUGCAUUGAGACAUUUCAUUUCUUGCUGACUGAAAGUAACAAGCCUCAUGCAUGUUUUUAUUAUUGUUAUUUUAUCUCUUUAAAUUCUUUCGCCAUGUUGAAAACUAAGCACGGUUACGAAAGGCUGUCAUUAAUUUUCUACAAAUUGCUGUGUGAGUUAUUUGCAUUUUGAGGAUUUUUAAGCUACUGUUUGUUGUUGGUUUGAUAACGUCUUAUGGCCACUUGCCGUUUUAACUUUGGGAUCUGAUUUCAUUGAAAGAUCCCAGGACAGUUCUUCCAGUUCUUUUAUCAACUGUGUAUUUAAUUAUUUUUCUCUUUCCUUUUUCAUCACUUUUUCAGUACAUAUUGACUAAUAAUUUUUCAGAUUUUUUUUUUUUUUUAGCUAGAUCAAAACCAAGCUCAAUUUGAACCGUUUUUAUCAACACUUGCUAAUCUAACGUUGGGACAAUUGUUACUGAAAGGCAGAAGCCUCAUACAGGAUGUGGUUCCUGCUGCCUCUGUUUUAUUUCUGCCAAAGUGAUCAUAUUUUUUAAAAGGUUUUUCGGUUGCAUUUAUGAAAUGUUAGUCUCCAUGUCCAGAAUCCCUGACUUGCUUUCAAAGUUAAAGCUCCCUUUGGUUUUCCCUUGGCGCAUCCCUCAUAGCCAAGUAGCUAAUAUCCCCAUAAGCACCGAGCGAUCUCUGACCCGACGCUCGCCGGCUGAAAUGCUUAAUAUUCCUGUUUCAUUUUCUGCUAAUUCUCCUCCAGCCUCUCCCUCCCCAUUCUUUCUCUCACUCUGCUCUCGUUAGAUGCAUGUAAUUGCCUAAUUCAACAUGCAUUAGAAAUGUAGUGUUUAAGUAAUCAUUGCCGAUAAGAUGGGGAUAACAUUUCAAUUACCUUGUCUUUGCAUUAUCUCUGCCGCAGUGUACAUAACAAUUACAUAUCCUGGAUGACUUGACAACAGCAGCUGGUUUCAUGUACAAACUGUAGUCACACAUUCAGAAAUGUCACUUUACAUGAUGCUACUUUUUCUUUGUUUUAAGCUACUCGCAAGACAUUUUCUGGAAAAUGAGUCAGAUGCACAUUAGUCAUCGUUUCUAAUUGAGUAGUACUUGUUAAAUGGUCCGAUUUUUUAUUUAGUCUGAUGUAAAUAAUUUCUUAAUGUCUUCAAAUGCAAUCCUUGCACAAGAACUCUGAAUGGAUUACUAUAAAUUAAUGCAAAAAUAAAACACAGGCAAGCAGUUUGUGAAGAGAACCAGGACUGCAACAAUCAAACUAUAUUACUGAAGCUCAUUAGUGUAACCUAGUUGUAUUUCUCUUUUGCUAUAGUUACACAAAAUGCACAUUACAUUAGCAGUCAUUUUUUUAAAGCCAGAUGGUUAAAAAAAUAAACAAGUAAAAGUAUUUAGUCAGGCCAGAUGCAUUACAUUGGAAUAAUUUGUAAGCCCCAAUGAUGUUUUCUGCACAGAUAAGCUGAAUUACUAUGAGUUGCAAUAUCUCUCUACUGGCAAAUAAUGUAAAUAUCUCAGGUGAUACAAGCUAUGAAGUUGCAAAUUAACUUCAUAACUUUAUGUCAGUUGAUAUUCUUGAUUCCUGUACAUUCUGUGAUGUUAUCAACCUAGUUGCACAUAAAAGACCAACUUUAAACUUUAUUUACUGGAAGUAUCUUCAUUUUUACUGUGCAGCUAUCAGAGAAAAAAAAUACACCACUGAACAAGUAGAAGUACACUGCAGAUACUGUUCAAGACAGAAUGAUUUCACAGUCAUAUUUUGUUGCCUGCUGAUAAAUUUAUGCAAUUUCAGGAAGAAGAGACAAAUCAGUUGGAUUAUUUUUUUUUUAAACACUGAUGCUAUUACCUGUAAUUUUUCUGAAAUUUUCUUCAAAUUCAAACUCCCUCAGCAAAAGUUUCACAGAUGACUCUUAGAAGCACCGCCAGAUGUUUUCUAUCAAAAACAGGUCGGUUGCCACUAAAUGAGCCCGGAUCGCCACUUUAACACUUUCCCUUCCCGGGCUGCACAUUUUCUCAAAGGCCAUGCCAGGAAUGCUGGCUAAUGACUUCCUCGUCAAGUCUUGCGGUUUCUCGUUGGAUGGUACAUGUGGAACCUUGUUUUUUUUAACGGAUUACUGCUUUCUUCUUUACGCACAAGUCAUCAACAGCUGCAGUGAACUUCCAGCUAAGCCCAGAUCUGCUCCCCUGGCAGGCGCCGCUAGUUUCCCCCUAUGUGACCCAGAGGUAGAAAAAGGUUGUACGAGACAAAUGGAGAAGCAGCAGGAGAUUGUACAACAGAUGGGAUGAUAGAAAAUUAGAUAAAACCUGCACAUAUUGUGUUUAAAAAAAAAAAA